rnacentral:misc_RNA from 1 species
GAUGAAGAACGCAGCGAAAUGCGAUAGGUAAUGUGAAUUGCAGAAUUCAGUGAAUCAUCGAAUCUUUGAACGCACAUUGCGCCCCUUGGUAUUCCGAGGGGCAUGCCUGUUCGAGCGUCAUUAUAACCCCUCAAGCUCAGCUUGGUGUUGGGGCCUGCUGCACUGGCAGCCCUUAAAAUCAGUGGCGGCGCCAUCUGGCUCUAAGCGUAGUAAUUCUUCUCGCUAUGGAGUCCUGGUGGAUGCUUGCCAUCAACCCCCAAUUUUUCUAUGGUUGACCUCGGAUCAGGUAGGGAUACCCGCUGAACUUAAGCAUAUCAAUAAGCGGAGGA